AAUAUUGCACAAUGGGCGAAAGCCUGAUGCAGCAACGCCGCGUGAGCGAUGAAGGUCUUCGGAUCGUAAAGCUCUGUCCUCAAGGAAGAAUAUUGACGGUACUUGAGGAGGAAGCCCCGGCUAACUACGUGCCAGCAGCCGCGGUAAUACGUAGGGGGCUAGCGUUAUCCGGAAUUACUGGGCGUAAAGGGUGCGUAGGCGGUCUUGCAAGUCAGAGGUGAAAGGCUACGGCUCAACCGUAGUAAGCCUUUGAAACUGUAGGACUUGAGUGCAGGAGAGGAAAGUGGAAUUCCCAGUGUAGCGGUGAAAUGCGUAGAUAUUGGGAGGAACACCAGUUGCGAAGGCGGCUUUCUGGACUGUAACUGACGCUGAGGCACGAAAGCGUGGGGAGCGAACAGG
rnacentral:rRNA from 1 species